CGGAGAGUGUGGUGGUCGGCGAGGAGAAGCCGCGGCCGGGACUUCACAGGAAAUUCAUCAUUGUGCUACAUUAUCCUACGCGUCAUCCUCUGAGUAUCCAUCACACAAGGUGUCCUGGAUGAAGGUGUCCAGGGCAGGACAGGAUCAGAGAAGGAAGGAGGAGGGAGGUCCCACAAGCUGGGUUUUGAAGCAGAGUUUCUGUUAGAAAGUUCAAGUGGGGCCAGGCAUUCCAGGUAUUGGAAUAAAGAUAACCGUAGCUUCCUGUGAACAUGUCAGUUCUGAUAUCACAGAGUGUAAUAAAUUAUGUCGAAGAAGAAAACAUUCCUGCUUUGAAAGCACUUCUUGAAAAAUGCAAAGAUGUGGAUGAGAGAAAUGAG
rnacentral:lncRNA from 1 species